GACGAACGCUGGUGGCGUGCUUAACACAUGCAAGUCGAACGGGAUUUAGUAAACAGAAGCCUCGGUGGAAGAUUACUACUGAGAGUGGCGAACGGGUGAGUAACGCGUGAGCAACCUGCCUAUGACAGUGGGAUAGCCUCGGGAAACCGGGAUUAAUACCGCAUAAAAUCGUAGAAACACAUGUUUUAACGGUCAAAGAUUUAUCGGUCAUAGAUGGGCUCGCGUCUGAUUUGCUAGUUGGUGAGAUAACAGCCCACCAAGGCGACGAUCAGUAGCCGGUCUGAGAGGAUGAACGGCCACAUUGGAACUGAGACACGGUCCAAACUCCUACGGGAGGCAGCAGUGGGGAAUAUUGCACAAUGGGGGAAACCCUGAUGCAGCGACGCCGCGUGAACGAAGAAGGUAUUCGUAUCGUAAAGUUCUGUCCUAUGGGAAGAUAAUGACAGUACCAGAGAAGAAAGCACCGGCUAAAUACGUG
rnacentral:rRNA from 1 species